CCGGGAACUCAUAGGAGACUGCCGGGGUCAACUCGGAGGAAGGUGGGGAUGAGGUCAAGUCAUCAUGCCCCUUAUGUCCAGGGCUUGAAACAUGCUACAAUGGCUGGUACAAAGGGCUGCAAUACCGCAAGGUGGAGCGAAUCCCAUAAAGCCAGUCUCAGUUCGGAUUGGGGUCUGCAACUCGACCCCAUGAAGUCGGAGUCGCUAGUAAUCGCAGAUCAGCAAUGCUGCGGUGAAUACGUUCCCGGGCCUUGUACACACCGCCCGUCAAGUCAUGAAAGUCGGUAACACCCGAAGCCGGUGGCCCAACCCUUGUGGAGGGAGCCGUCGAAGGUGGGACCGGUAAUUAGGACUAAGUCGUAACAAGGUAGCCGUACCGGAAGGUGC
rnacentral:rRNA from 2 species